rnacentral:misc_RNA from 1 species
AACGCAUAUUGCACUCUCCGUUCCGCGGAGAGGAUGCCUGUUUCAGGGUCUAUUGAAAAAAAUCCGGAAUUUCGUUUUCUGGGAAAUGAACUUUUCGUGUCUCUUGAUGCGAUCGUUUGAAAUUAAUUGCGUUUACAACUGAUAGGACGCGUAAUGGUAGUAAAAUGCUAAUAUCGUAACUUGUCAGCUGGAUAUUAAAUGUGUAGUUUGGUUAUAUGGGAGUUUAUUCUUUCCCCAUCGAUCAAACAAUUAGCCUACAUAGACCUGAAAUCAGGCAAGAUUACCCGCUGAACUUAA